AGAGUUUGAUCAUGGCUCAGGAUGAACGCUAGCUACAGGCUUAACACAUGCAAGUCGAGGGGAAACGACAUCGAAAGCUUGCUUUUGAUGGGCGUCGACCGGCGCACGGGUGAGUAACGCGUAUCCAACCUGCCCAUCACUUGGGGAUAACCUUGCGAAAGUAAGACUAAUACCCAGUGACGUCUCUAGAAGACAUCUGAAAGAGAUUAAAGAUUUAUCGGUGAUGGAUGGGGAUGCGUCUGAUUAGCUUGUUGGCGGGGUAACGCCACAAGGCGACGAUCAGUAGGGUUCUGAGAGGAAGGUCCCCCANAUUGGAACUGAGACACGGUCCAAACUCCUACGGGAGCA
rnacentral:rRNA from 1 species